rnacentral:lncRNA from 1 species
AGAUAUGGUAUCACCAUCUUUCAGCUACCUUUGGCGCUAAGUGUCACGGCCCGCAAGUUGAAGGCUCAACCCAACAACUAUUGGGUCAACCUAGAGGAUCCAUUUGUAAAGGUCAAGCCCAACAAAAGAAGCUUAAGGCCCGGCCCAUCGAAUGGAUCAUUCUAGAUCUCUUAGUCCACAUGUCUAGAUUCAAUGUACAGUAGUGGUAGAUUCCGGAUCAUUAGAUUGUUUUGGGUAGUAGGCGAGCUAGGAUCUUUAUAUAAGGAGUGUGCCUCAUUGUGUAUCCU